AGGUGUGAGAGGCGUGAGAGGGAGAGGGUGAGAGGGCGUGAGAGGAAGAGCGAGCGUGCAAGGCAUGACAGGGAAAGCAUGAGAGGCCGAGCGUGCAAGGCAUGAGAGGCGUCAGAGGGAAAGAGCUAGCUUGAGAGGGAAUAGGGAAAGAGCGAGUGUGAUUGCGAAUAUGUGAUUAGAGGUUCUUUAAAUAUUCUUAAGAAAUAAAAUAUAAUAAUCGGUCCAGCUUGGGCGGUUCCAUCUUUGGAAUCAGGAAUCGGACCGACGCCCUCGGAAA